rnacentral:rRNA from 1 species
CAAUUUAAACAACGAAGAGUUUGAUCCUGGCUCAGGAUGAACGCUAGCGACAGGCUUAACACAUGCAAGUCGAGGGGCAGCACAGGUAGCAAUACCGGGUGGCGACCGGCGCACGGGUGAGUAACGCGUAUGCAACUUACCUAUCAGAGGGGGAUAACCCGGCGAAAGUCGGACUAAUACCGCAUGAAGCAGGGGCCCCGCAUGGGGAUAUUUGCUAAAGAUUCAUCGCUGAUAGAUAGGCAUGCGUUCCAUUAGGCAGUUGGCGGGGUAACGGCCCACCAAACCGACGAUGGAUAGGGGUUCUGAGAGGAAGGUCCCCCACAUUGGUACUGAGACACGGACCAAACUCCUACGGGAGGCAGCAGUGAGGAAUAUUGGUCAAUGGCCGAGAGGCUGAACCAGCCAAGUCGCGUGAGGGAUGAAGGUUCUAUGGAUCGUAAACCUCUUUUAUAAGGGAAUAAAGUGCGGGACGUGUCCCGUUUUGUAUGUACCUUAUGAAUAAGGAUCGGCUAACUCCGUGCCAGCAGCCGCGGUAAUACGGAGGAUCCGAGCGUUAUCCGGAUUUAUUGGGUUUAAAGGGUGCGUAGGCGGCCUUUUAAGUCAGCGGUGAAAGUCUGUGGCUCAACCAUAGAAUUGCCGUUGAAACUGGGGGGCUUGAGUAUGUUUGAGGCAGGCGGAAUGCGUGGUGUAGCGGUGAAAUGCAUAGAUAUCACGCAGAACCCCGAUUGCGAAGGCAGCCUGCCAAGCCAUGACUGACGCUGAUGCACGAAAGCGUGGGGAUCAAACAGGAUUAGAUACCCUGGUAGUCCACGCAGUAAACGAUGAUCACUAGCUGUUUGCGAUACACUGUAAGCGGCACAGCGAAAGCGUUAAGUGAUCCACCUGGGGAGUACGCCGGCAACGGUGAAACUCAAAGGAAUUGACGGGGGCCCGCACAAGCGGAGGAACAUGUGGUUUAAUUCGAUGAUACGCGAGGAACCUUACCCGGGUUUGAACGCAUUCGGACCGAGGUGGAAACACCUUUUCUAGCAAUAGCCGUUUGCGAGGUGCUGCAUGGUUGUCGUCAGCUCGUGCCGUGAGGUGUCGGCUUAAGUGCCAUAACGAGCGCAACCCUUGCCACUAGUUACUAACAGGUAAAGCUGAGGACUCUGGUGGGACUGCCAGCGUAAGCUGCGAGGAAGGCGGGGAUGACGUCAAAUCAGCACGGCCCUUACAUCCGGGGCGACACACGUGUUACAAUGGCGUGGACAAAGGGAGGCCACCUGGUGACAGGGAGCGAAUCCCCAAACCACGUCUCAGUUCGGAUCGGAGUCUGCAACCCGACUCCGUGAAGCUGGAUUCGCUAGUAAUCGCGCAUCAGCCAUGGCGCGGUGAAUACGUUCCCGGGCCUUGUACACACCGCCCGUCAAGCCAUGGGAGCCGGGGGUACCUGAAGUCCGUAACCGAAAGGAUCGGCCUAGGGUAAAACUGGUGACUGGGGCUAAGUCGUAACAAGGUAGCCGUACCGGAAGGUGCGGCUGGAACACCUCCUUUCU